CUAAUUUUUCGCAUUAAUUAUUACUUGCAGCGGGAUUCAAUGACUUGUUUCUGAUCUCUGAUGCCUAUCAUAAUUGUAGAGAUACAAUAUAUUUGUUCAAGAGACUUCGGUUAUAUUACUCUCUGGAUUUUGAUUCUUUUUUAAUUUAAAUGUUUAAUUGACUAGUCUUCAGCACAUAAAUGUCGUCUAAGUAGAUAAGUCACUGGUUACUUAAAUACAAUUUUGUAAUUUAAUUACCUACACCAUAGAAUGUCUGUUGACACUUUCGGACAAGUGUGGAAACAAGGAACUUAAUUUGGAGAGUUGAUCAUAUAUCAGAAGCUAGCGGAAAAAUAAAAGCAACACCCAACCACACCUUCUUAACCGAUGAUAAAUUAAAGAUCUGUUCCUCGUCAUUUCAUCAGUGCGAUUUAGGAAUAUUUAGCCAAGCAGGAAACAAAAGCAUGUAGGAUGGACCAUCUCAGGUUGAAGAAUGGGAGAGUCAAGGCAGAAGUAAUCCCCAAAAAUGGCAGAUCUUCUCUGUAGGUUUCGCUGGUUUUCUAUGUAUAUUAAAAAUGAAUGAUAAGAUAACGGAAGAGGUGCAUGCACAAUAAAUGCGGUUGAGGACCAUGUCCAUGCAUGAUAUAUGUUGUGAAGGUGGUGGUGGCCCCGUAAUAGUAAGUGAUCACUGACAGAGAGAGAGUCGUAACCCUUUUGUAUAUUUGAUUCCAAACCCAAACUAGUUUCAAGUUACAUGAAGAUCAUUUGGCUAUCUAUCUCCAACACCGUCCACAUGUCUUGUUGUAUUUUCCUCUUCUUUUGUCUGUUUUGGUUUUAUUGCACCGAAUUUGAAAGGAACAACAGAAUCUAAUCUGUACGAAGCUUCUCUAGUGGUACCCAUCUAUGUCGUAACUUUGGGACGUACGUGGAACGUGGUGGUCUCAUAUUUCCAGUGUCCACGUGAGUUAUAAAUUGUCCUGUUUUUGGGGCGCUUCAACUUGAAUGACAACUACACUAUUUAUAUAAGUAAUUUUACU